rnacentral:tRNA from 1 species
GCGGGCGUAGUUUAAUGGUAAAACUACAGUCUUCCAAACUGUUGUCGUGGGUUCGAUUCCCACGCCCGCU